rnacentral:rRNA from 1 species
GACGAACGCUGGCGGCGUGCUUAACACAUGCAAGUCGAACGGAAAGUCCCUGCUUUUGUGGGGUGCUCGAGUUGCGACCGGGUGAGUAACCCUUGAGUACCCUGCCCUUCACUUUGGGAUAACUUCAUGACACUUGGUCUCAUACCGGCUAGGAGCUCCUGCUUCAUGGUGGGGGUUGGAAAGUUUCGGCGGUUGGGGAUGGACUCGCGUCUUAUCAGCUUGUUGGUGGGGUAGUGGCUUACCAAGGCUUUGACGGGUAGCCGGGCUGAGAGGGUCACCGGCCACAUUGGGACUGAGAUACGGCACAGACUAGUACGGGAGGCAGCAGUGGGGAAUAGUGCACAAUGGGCGGAAGCCUGAUGCAGCAAAGCCGCGUGGGGGAUGACGGCCUUGGGGUUGGAAACCGAAUUCGCCUGUGACGAAGCGAGAGUGACGGUAAUGGGUAAAGAAGCACCGGCUAACUACGU